UACGUAGGGUGCAAGCGUUGUCCGGAAUUAUUGGGCGUAAAGAGCUCGUAGGCGGUCUGUCGCGUCGGAUGUGGAAAAUCCAGGGCUCAACCCUGGACCUGCAUUCGAUACGGGCAGACUAGAGUUCGGCAGGGGAGACUGGAAUUCCUGGUGUAGCGGUGAAAUGCGCAGAUAUCAGGAGGAACACCGGUGGCGAAGGCGGGUCUCUGGGCCGAUACUGACGCUGAGGAGCGAAAGCGUGGGGAGCGAACAGG
rnacentral:rRNA from 1 species